rnacentral:rRNA from 1 species
UACGUAGGGUGCAAGCGUUGUCCGGAAUUAUUGGGCGUAAAGAGCUCGUAGGCGGUUCGUCGCGUCGGCUGUGAAAUCCCGAGGCUCAACCUCGGGUCUGCAGUCGAUACGGGCGGACUGGAGUUCGGCAGGGGAGACUGGAAUUCCUGGUGUAGCGGUGAAAUGCGCAGAUAUCAGGAGGAACACCGGUGGCGAGGGCGGGUCUCUGGGCCGUAACUGACGCUGAGACACGAAAGCGUGGGUAGCAAACAGG